rnacentral:rRNA from 1 species
AUGCGUGUGUGUGUGUGUGUGGAGUUUCACCAUGACCGUGUAGUGUGUGUUCUUGAGAGAGACAAAGAGAGAUGGAGAUUGAGUUGUGAGAGGCAGCUCAGGAGGAACAAGAAGCGGUGCUGCAAGGAGAGAUGGCGCCAACACAUGCUUGUUCACAAUCUCAGCACUAUAGUUCGCUGCAUUUUCUCUCAAAGCACCUAUGUUGUCGUUUGCAGCUCCGAUGUCAGAGAUUCCAGCUCCUGGCGUACACAAUUAAUGACUUCGUCAACAUACACCCAGAGUUCAUGUUGCUACCUCUCUCCUGAUACCUAUCACUCCCAUCCAAUGGCUAGGCCAUUGAGACAGCGAACCAAAAAUUAA